UCCCAGACUCCUACGGGAGGCAGCAGUGAGGAAUAUUGGUCAAUGGACGAGAGUCUGAACCAGCCAAGUAGCGUGAAGGAUGACUGCCCUAUGGGUUGUAAACUUCUUUUAUAUGGGAAUAAAACAGGGUAUGCAUACCCUCUUGUAUGUACCAUAUGAAUAAGGAUCGGCUAACUCCGUGCCAGCAGCCGCGGUAAUACGGAGGAUGCGAGCGUUAUCCGGAUUUAUUGGGUUUAAAGGGUGCGCAGGCGGAAUGUCAAGUCAGCGGUAAAAUUUCGGGGCUCAACCCCGUCGUGCCGUUGAAACUGGCGUUCUUGAGUGAGCGAGAAGUAUGCGGAAUGCGUGGUGUAGCGGUGAAAUGCAUAGAUAUCACGCAGAACUCCGAUUGCGAAGGCAGCAUACCGGCGCUCAACUGACGCUCAUGCACGAAAGCGUGGGUAUCGAACAGGAUUAGAUACCCGAGUAUG
rnacentral:rRNA from 1 species